CCGUUUCUUAUCAUAUAUUGUAACAGAAUGUUAAUUAGUAAGUAUAUAGGUAUGCACUAGAAGGAAAAAUGUUGUAGUAAGUAGUACAGUAUCGUAAACAAUGCCAGAUCCCUGCCACACAUUGCUAUUAAUCUAGAUUGUUCUAGGUACCGUUGUAUUUAUUGAUAUUUAUUAUAAUUUUGACAACCAGCAAUCGAUAAUGCAUGCAGUUAUUAAGCGACUUCUUUUUUUUACACAGGGUAUGCGAGAUAGAAGUAUUUCGCAAAGAGAAUAAAGAAGAGGUCAUUGUCCAGCAGUGGAUCACUUAAAACAAAUAGUGUAAAAAAAAUAUGUAAACAUUAAAAAAUAUAGAAAGAUGUUAAAAAUGGAACAAUAGUUGAUUUUACAAUUCUUCAAGUUCUAAGAAAUGUGGCGGACAGACGUCGUUUAAUAGUUAGUAUGUUAGAGUCCACGUUGGCCGCAACGUGUGCAGAGUCGCUGCUCUCGACUGCGAGGGACGUCGUUUUGCAUGUCAUUCUUGGAAUUAAGUCGCCGACGUGGAAGUGAGCAGCCUUUGUAACUUGAAGACUCUAUUAGCGAUACGCAGUUUAAUAUUGUGUACAAAUAUUAAAACACGUAUAUCUUAGAACGUGUAAUGUAAUAAACAAUUUGAGUUUCUUUUGAUGGAUUUUGGGUAGUUAUAAUCUAUUAGAUGUAUUACUGUGCAUCUUCCAAUAGUUUCUUUAUGUAUGAAAGUAGAAUGAUUACCCAGCUUAUUUUAUCGGUUAGCUAGGCAUCAGAGAAAGGUGA